rfam:Gossypium hirsutum cultivar TM-1 chromosome 15, whole genome shotgun sequence
AAACCAUGCAUUAGACAUUUCCUAAUUAGUUCCUUGAAACACUCUUAUGCUUCGUGUAAUGUCUCAUCUUUAGAUUGCUUGAAUGAUGUAAUGUCAUUUCUAAUCUU